UUUCGCAAUGCCCGAAAGGGUGACGAAGCGACGCCGCGUGUGGGAAGAAGGCCUUCGGGUUGUAAACCGCUGUUGGGAGUUAGGAAGUGUGGGAGCGUUAAUAGCGCUUCCACUUGACUAAAGCUCCAGAGGAAGCCACGGCUAACUCUGUGCCAGCAGCCGCGGUAAUACAGAGGCGGCAAGCGUUGUUCGGAAUUAUUGGGCGUAAAGAGCACGUAGGCGGCUCUGCAAGUCAGCUGUGAAAGCCUUCUGCUUAACGGAAGAACAGCAGUUGAAACUACAGGGCUUGAGUGCGGGAGGGGAGAGUGGAACUUCUGGUGGAGCGGUGAAAUGCGUAGAUAUCAGAAGGAACGCCGGCGGCGAAAGCGGCUCUCUGGUCCGUAACUGACGCUGAGUGUGCGAAAGCUAGGGGAGCAAACGGGAUUAGAUACCCCGGUAGUCCUAGCCGUAAACGAUGGGCACUAAGUAGAGGGGUUUU
rnacentral:rRNA from 2 species